UGGCUGCUGUCGUCCUUCCUACU
rnacentral:miRNA from 1 species